rnacentral:rRNA from 1 species
AACUGUNUGACUUGAGUGCAGAAGGGGAGAGUGGAAUUCCAUGCGUAGCGGUGAAAUGCGUAGAUAUAUGGAGGAACACCAGUGGCGAAAGCGGCUCUCUGGUCUGUCACUGACGCUGAGGCUCGAAAGCGUGGGUAGCGAACAGGAUUAGAUACCCUGGUAGUNCACGCCGUAAACGAUGAGUGCUAGGUGUUAGGCCCUUUCCGGGGCUUAGUGCCGGAGCUAACGCAAUAAGCACUCCGCCUGGGGAGUACGACCGCAAGGUUGAAACUCAAAGGAAUUGACGGGGGCCCGCACAAGCGGUGGAGCAUGUGGUUUAAUUCGAAGCAACGCGAAGAACCUUACCAGGUCUUGACAUCCCGAUGCUAUUCUUAGAGAUAGGAAGUUACUUCGGUACAUCGGAGACAGGUGGUGCAUGGUUGUCGUCAGCUCGUGUCGUGAGAUGUUGGGUUAAGUCNCNCAACGAGCGCAACCCUUAUUGUUAGUUGCCAUCAUUAAGUUGGGCACUCUAGCGAGACUGCCGGUAAUAAACCGGAGGAAGGUGGGGAUGACGUCAAAUCAUCAUGCCCCUUAUGACCUGGGCUACACACGUGCUACAAUGGUCGGUACAACGAGUUGCGAGCCGGUGACGGCAAGCUAAUCUCUGAAAGCCGAUCUCAGUUCGGAUUGGAGGCUGCANCU